rnacentral:rRNA from 1 species
UAAGCAUAUCAAUAAGCGGAGGAAAAGAAACCAACAGGGAUUGCCCUAGUAACGGCGAGUGAAGCGGCAACAGCUCAAAUUUGAAAUCUGGCCUCGGCCCGAGUUGUAAUUUGCAGAGGAUGAUUUUGGCGCGGUGCCUUCCGAGUUCCCUGGAACGGGACGCCACAGAGGGUGAGAGCCCCGUAUGGUCGGACACCAAGCCUUUGUAAAUCUCCUUCGACGAGUCGAGUAGUUUGGGAAUGCUGCUCAAAAUGGGAGGUAAAUCUCUUCUAAAGCUAAAUAUUGGCCAGAGACCGAUAGCGCACAAGUAGAGUGAUCGAAAGAUGAAAAGCACCUUGAAAAGGGGGUUAAACAGUACGUGAAAUUGUUGAAAGGGAAGGGCUCGUGACCAGACUUGUGCCAGGCGGCUCAUCCGGCGUUCUCGCCGGUGCACUCCGCCUGGCUCAGGCCAGCAUCGGUUCUUGCCGGGGGAUAAGAGCUUCGGGAACGUGGCCCCCUUCGGGGGGUGUUAUAGCCCGUUGCACGAUGCCCUGGCGGGGACCGAGGUUCGCGCUCCGCAAGGAUGCUGGCGUAAUGGUCACCAACCACCCGUCUUGAAACACGGACCAAGGAGUCGUCCAUCAGAGCGAGCGUUUGGGUGUAAAACCCGCACGCGUAAUGAAAGUGAACGCAGGUGAGAGCUUCGGCGCAUCAUCGACCGAUCCUGAUGUAUUCGGAUGGAUUUGAGUAAGAGUUUUGCUGGACGGACCCGAAAGACAGUGAACUAUGCUUGUAUAGGGUGAAGCCAGAGGAAACUCUGGUGGAGGCUCGCAGCGGUUCUGACGUGCAAAUCGAUCGUCAAAUAUGAGCAUGGGGGCGAAAGACUAAUCGAACUGUCUAGUAGCUGGUUACCGCCGAAGU